GUCAAAUGCCUCCUUGGCAACGACCUCGUACCCGGAAGUUGUUAAAGUCGCCGCGAAAUAUCAACAAGAGAACUUGAGAGCGGUAGAAAUGUGAUUGAAAAUGUCUUUAUACAAGAUACAACAGUGUCUCUGUUGGACCAAAUGUGAUAGCUGAGUGGGUAGAAAGUUCGCUCAUUUGCGUGUAGUGCUGUGUGGCUGUAAUGCAGCGCAGUAAAGCCGCCGUGAGUGUGGAGGUGAAGCAGGUGAUAGGAGCUCUGUGCAGACUGCUGACGGCCACCGGCCUGGAAAGUGUCCCCGCACCGGAAACCUUCAGGCGGGCUAAAUUUGGUGGUGGACUCGAGGUGGAGGAUCAGUUUUGGCAGCUCCUCACCAACAUCCUUCAGACAGCUGGCAUUGUUUCCUGUGAAGCUGGUGCACAGCUAGGUGGAGCCCCAGAGCACCGGAAGCUGGUAGCUGCAGGCCUCUGGCAGACUGGAUACCAUGCUGACUGGAUGUGUGGCAGGGAGGGAGGAGAAGGGGGCAAGGGACAGAGUUUUUCCAGCAGAGACCUCCUCCUGGCGCUGGCCUGGCUGCUCACUGCUGGAACACUGGAGAAACUGCUGACACAGCGAGUGCAGCGAUUGGACAAAACAUUACUCACACCUCCACCUGUAAUGGUGAACACUCAGCCGUCUGGUGAGCUCCAGUUAGACUCGGCAUCUCUGAGGAAACUUCAGUGGCUCAUUGGUUGUUUGAGAUACCAGUGGCGGACCCUGCUGUCCAUGCAAGAAGAGCGAACUCAUCUGCUCCAUGCUGUCUCUAUUGCCCCCCUCCCCCCCCUCGCAUCCUCUGAUCAGAGCUCAGCAGUUCUAAGGGAGUCUUCCUUAGAUGCAUUAAAUGCCAUGAAAGCACAGAAUGAACACACCCUGGCUCAUAAACAGCCCAUCAUAUCCCUUGAUAAUGGAGCACGCUCUGAGUGA
rnacentral:lncRNA from 15 species